rnacentral:rRNA from 1 species
UUGGAGGGCAAGUCUGGUGCCAGCAGCCGCGGUAAUUCCAGCUCCAAUAGCGUAUAUUAAAGUUGUUGCAGUUAAAAAGCUCGUAGUUGAAUUUCGGGGUUAGUAGGUUGGUCAUGCCUCUGGUAUGUACUGGUCUCACUGAUUCCUCCUUCCUUAUGAACCGUAAUGCCGUUAAUUUGGUGUUGCGGGGAAUUUGGACUGUUACUUUGAAAAAAUUAGAGUGUUUAAAGCAAGCUAACGCUUGAAUACAUUAGCAUGGAAUAAUGAAAUAGGACGUUCG